AACGAACGCUGGCGGCAUGCCUAACACAUGCAAGUCGAACGAGACCUUCGGGUCUAGUGGCGCACGGGUGCGUAACGCGUGGGAACCUGACCUUAGGUUCGGAAUAACUCCCCGAAAGGGGUGCUAAUACCGGAUAAUGUCUUCGGACCAAAGAUUUAUCGCCUUUGGAUGGGCCCGCGUUGGAUUAGCUAGUUGGUAGGGUAAAAGCCUACCAAGGCGACGAUCCAUAGCUGGUCUGAGAGGAUGAUCAGCCACACUGGGACUGAGACACGGCCCAGACUCCUACGGGAGGCAGCAGUGGGGAAUAUUGGACAAUGGGCGAAAGCCUGAUCCAGCACUGCCGCGUGAGUGAUGAAGGCCUUAGAGUUGUAAAGCUCUUUUACCCGGGAUGAUAAUGACGGUACCGGGAGAAUAAGCUCCGGCUAACUCCGUG
rnacentral:rRNA from 1 species